rnacentral:rRNA from 1 species
GACGAACGCUGGCGGCGUGCUUAACACAUGCAAGUCGAACGGAAAGGCCCUGCUUUUGUGGGGUGCUCGAGUGGCGAACGGGUGAGUAACACGUGAGUAACCUGCCCUUGACUUUGGGAUAACUUCAGGAAACUGGGGCUAAUACCGGAUAGGAGCUCCUGCUGCAUGGUGGGGGUUGGAAAGUUUCGGCGGUUGGGGAUGGACUCGCGGCUUAUCAGCUUGUUGGUGGGGUAGUGGCUUACCAAGGCUUUGACGGGUAGCCGGCCUGAGAGGGUGACCGGCCACAUUGGGACUGAGAUACGGCCCAGACUCCUACGGGAGGCAGCGGUGGGGAAGAUUGCACAAGGGGCGGAAGCCUGAUGCAGCAACGCCGCGUGCGGGAUGACGGCCUUCGGGUUGUAAACCGCUUUCGCCUGUGACGAAGCGUGAGUGACGGUAAUGGGUAAAGAAGCACCGGCUAACUACGUG